rnacentral:tRNA from 1 species
GCCGGGAUAGCUCAGUUGGUAGAGCAGUGGAUUGAAGAUCCUCGUGUCACCAGUUCGAUUCUGGUUCCUGGCA